rnacentral:rRNA from 1 species
AGUGAACGCUGGCGGUAGGCCUAACACAUGCAAGUCGAACGGCAGCACAGGAGAGCUUGCUCUCUGGGUGGCGAGUGGCGGAGGGGUGAGGAAUACAUCGGAAUCUACUUUUUCGUGGGGGAUAACGUAGGGAAACUUACGCUAAUACCGCAUACGACCUACGGGUGAAAGCAGGGGACCUUAGGGCCUUGCGCGAUUGCAUGAGCAGAUGUCGGAUUAGCUAGUUGGCGGGGUAAAGGCCCACAAAGACGACGAUCCGUAGCUGGUCUGAGAGGAUGUUCAGCCACACUGGAACUGGGACACGGUCCAGACUCCUACGGGAGGCAGCAGUGGGGAAUAUUGGACAAUGGGCGCAAGCCUGAUCCAGCCAUACCGCGUGGGUGAAGAAGGCCUUCGGGUUGUAAAGCCCUUUUGUUGGGAAAGAAAUCCAGCUGGCUAAUACCCGGUUGGGAUGACGGUACCCAAAGAAUAAGCACCGGCUAACUUCGUGCCAGCAGCCGCCGUAA